UCCGGUUUGUCACCGGCAGUCUCAUUAGAGUGCCCAACUGAAUGUAGCAACUAAUGACAAGGGUUGCGCUCGUUACGGGACUUGACCCAACAUCUCACGACACGAGCUGACGACAGCCAUGCAGCACCUGUAUCUCGGUUCCCGAAGGCACUCCCCUGUUUCCAGAGGAUUCCGAGUAUGUCAAGAGUAGGUAAGGUUCUUCGCGUUGCAUCGAAUUAAACCGCAUGCUCCACCGCUUGUGCGGGCCCCCGUCAAUUUCUUUGAGUUUUAACCUUGCGGCCGUACUCCCCAGGCGGAGAACUUAACGCGUUAGCUUCGAUACUAGGAGGUAAACCUCCCAACAUCUAGUUCUCAUCGUUGACAGCGUGGACUAC
rnacentral:misc_RNA from 1 species